rnacentral:lncRNA from 1 species
ACACCUGCCUAUUCACCAUUGCGUUCCUCUGCCAGGCCACGUGGUUGAUGCUGAAAUGUUUGUUGAAUAAGUGGCUUACAGUGGAAAGUGACACAACUGAAUGAGGAUUUUCUUGGUAACAUUUGGAAGGGCCAUGAGAGCUGCUGGGAUUGGGCUUGCUGUGGUUCCUUGAUGAAUUUUGCCUUUAAAGGAGCUUGUUGCAUGAGAGAAGCCAUCUUAAAAACACUGCAUAAACAUGGCAUCCAAAGAGAGGAAGCAGAGACAUGAUGCACCAACUACUACUU